rnacentral:rRNA from 1 species
UACGUAGGGGGCGAGCGUUGUCCGGAUUUACUGGGCGUAAAGAGCGCGCAGGCGGUCGUUCAAGUCGAGUGUGAAAGCCCCCGGCUCAACUGGGGAGGGUCACGCGAUACUGCUCGACUCGAAGGCAGGAGAGGGAAGUGGAAUUCCCGGUGUAGUGGUGAAAUGCGUAGAUAUCGGGAGGAACACCAGUGGCGAAGGCGACUUCCUGGCCUGUUCUUGACGCUGAGGCGCGAAAGCUAGGGUAGCAAACGGG